GGAUUAGAUACCCUGGUAGUCCACGCUGUAAACGAUGUCAACUAGCCGUUGGGAACCUUAGUGUUCUUAGUGGCGUAGCUAACGCGCUAAGUUGACCGCCUGGGGAGUACGGUCGCAAGAUUAAAACUCAAAUGAAUUGACGGGGGCCCGCACAAGCGGUGGAGCAUGUGGUUUAAUUCGACGCAACGCGAAGAACCUUACCUGGUCUUGACAUCCUCAGAACUUUCCAGAGAUGGAUUGGUGCCUUCGGGAACUGAGUGACAGGUGCUGCAUGGCUGUCGUCAGCUCGUGCCG
rnacentral:rRNA from 1 species